AGCGGGCCGGGUUCUGGGCGGAGGGCCAAGAUCGAACAGUUCCCUCCAAAGAGUGAGCGGAGGUGGCAGGAGGUCUACAUGGGGGCUGCCCGCCUGCUGGCAUUGGUCCUCCCUAACUCCACAGGGUCCUGGUCCACAAUGAACCCCAAUAUGAAGCAGAAACAGGAAGGCACCCAUGGGCGCGUGCAGAGCAGUCCUGUCCUGAGGAGGACCCUGAAGAUGAUCCAGCCGUCCACAGCUGGGCCCCUCGUGGGCAGAGAGAAGGAGCUGGUUAAAGGCUCGUUCAAACCGAAGCAUCUCAGUGAUCAGUCGGCCUCUAAGACUUCCGGAUCUGGAGUCCCUGCUGUCCUGGAGCACAGUGAGAGCCAGGAGCUCCGAGGAGUUACCCAGGAAGCACUGGAUCUCAUGGCUGCAGAAAACCCGUCCUCUCAGUAUUGGAAGGAAGUGGCGGAGCAGCGGCGGAAGGCGCUCUCUGAAGCGCUGAAGGAAAACGAGAAGCUCUACAGAGAGAUCGAGCAGAAGGCAAGUGAGAUCGCCCGCCCGCAGAGGGAGAACCAGGAGCUGGGGGAGGUGGCGAAUCGCCGGACAGCGAGGGAUCUGAUUCUAAGGAGGAGGCGGGCGAGGAUCCGGAGGCGGAAGGCCUGGUGCAGGCAUGAGUGCCAGCAGUGUCUUCCUCCACGGAUGCCCGGCCCGGCGUGUGAGCUGUGCGUGUGA